AUUUAAAUAGUUUAAUAAAAUAUUGAUUUGUGGGAUCAAAGAUAUGGCUUUCAUUUUAAAUA
rnacentral:tRNA from 1 species